UUAUCUUCUCAAUCUUCUUCUCUCCACCGCACCCCAAAAUUGAAACUCGAAAACUAAAAAAAACAAAAAAAACAGAAGAAAUCACUUGAACCAUUGCUCUUAAUCCCAACCCCUUUCUCCAUCGUUUUCGUCUCUCCACAAAAUCACCAAGUUCUCCAAUAAACCCUAUUCGAAAUCUGUAACCACAGACUUGAGCAAAGAGGAAGAAAUCCAUUCUUCUUGAACCAUUUUCUUCUUUUCAUCUUUGCGGUUAAGGGAUUUUGAUUUCAGGGUUUGUUGUUGAGGUUUUUCUCCUUUUAUGCAGCAGAGAGGGUUCACUGUUAUAGUAUUUCUUCGUCUCUACAACAAAAAGGGGUAGCUGUGAAGGUCUUUCUCCAUCUCGUACAAAAAGGGCAACAAGAUGAUAAACUGGAUGAGUUAAGUGAAAUUAUGCAAAGAACUUGAGGUGUGGGGCUCCCUUUACACAAAGAAAUUACAUAGCAGGAUGGAAAAGUAGAUGAAAUUAUGUGCGACUUUGAUGAGCCUGAGACUCUUACCAACUGGAUUACACCUUGGUGAAGUUAAGAAUAUGCUUAUUCAAGGUGAAGCUGGUGCUGUUUAUAUCUUCUAGGUUGAGGGAAGUUGAUCUUGAUAUUCAAAUGUUCUCUGAAAUGGGUAUCAUUGAUGUAUUGAGUUCAAAUUUUGAUUCCAUUAUUUUUAUUGAUAUUUCCAGUUUGUUUAUAUCUUCUAGGUUGAAUUUUAACGGGUUAUAUGCUAUUUUCAGGGAUUGAAUAAUUGCUGAUGGAUUUAAUAUUGGUGGCGAAGUGUGUAAGUGGUGUUCGUGAUGCUGAUGGUGCUGUUAGCGGUAGUGUUGGAGGUGCAUGUGUUGGUAUUGCUGCUACCAAAAGGUGGUGGUGGUAUCUUAAUAAUAACACCAACUUUGAUGUAAAUGAUGAAUCUUGCAGAUAGGUUAAGUAAUUAUGGAUUUGUUGCUUUGAUUACUGAGGUAUAUAUUGGUUUGUUUCUAACUGGCAACAAGUACACCUUAGGAUGAUGAUGAUAAAAAGAUGAUCUGAAAAUGAGAUUUCGUUUUUUGUUAGCUGUUUUUGGAAGUGUGGAGUUUCCCUUAAAUGUUCAGCAUUGUGUUAAUAUUGAUUGGUUAAUUGUUUUAUUUUCAUUGUUGGUUACAGCUUAAGGCUGCUGGACAUACGGAUUGCAUUAAAGUCUAUAACAAGUGUAGAUGUGCGCAGAGGGGAAAACCAAUAAGAGAGCCUGGAUUUGCCUUAUUAACCGGGAGAAAACAAAGUAUAAAACCUCUAAGUACCUUUUUGAUGAUUGUUUGACCUACAAAGACAUUAUGCAACUGCAGAAGUAUAAUACAAAGAAAAAGGUUAAGAUAGGUGGAAAGUAUGAAGAAAAUAUCGAGGCUUCCGAUGAAGACUACUCUGUUGAACCCGGUAAAAGUUGAAGGUCCUUUUGUGCCCUUCCUGAUGUUGGUAAUUUACAAAAAACUAUAGGAUACUGUAUCUUUAGUGCCCUGUGCUCUGAAGGGUGGCAUCUUUUCUGUUGUAAUUAGCGCAGUUGAGGUCUCGUUUCUACUUUGGAUACAGAUUGUUGCCUGGUGAUGGGGUUUAUACAGAAACAGAUGAAUUGGGCAAGAUUAAUGGAAUCGACUUCUGCAACAUGUUUAAAAUGGUUCAGCAAAUCUACUUCAAAGUGAUAUCCUCCAAUGCAUUUGAACUUUAUAAGACUAAUUUUUCAAUUAUUCUUUGUGAUGCUUGCUGGAUGCAGGGCUGGGAUUACACCUGUUCAGAAAAGGAGAUUUACUGAAAAGAAGAAAGAUAUGAAGUGGCAGAAGCAGGGUUACAACGCUCAGUAAUUUAGCUUUUGUGCUUAUGCCAAUGCACGAAUGAAGGUUGUGAAUCCUUCCACAGAAUAUUACGAGUACUAAAGUGUUUGGUGGCGGGGCUGGGUGGUAUCGGUAUCAAUUUGUUGGAGAUAGACUACUCUGAACCCCCUCGACUGGAUUUGGAAUAAUGUGGAGAGUAGGUGGGACAGCCUCCAAUCCUAGAUUUAGAAGAAGACGCAGCAAGGCUAUGGAGCUUCACUGCCGAUAGUUAUAGUAUAUUUCUCAUAGAAUUAUUGGUGCUUCAUCUAUUUCUUUCCCUGUCACUUUUGGUAAGAAUUACUCGAUCCAGGUUUAUUUCUUAUGUUAGUGCAGCCUUUCAUCUUAACUGCUGGUGAGUAAUCUAUGUUUUGACGUUUGUUUGUAUACUGGAAUAUGAUUUAUUGAUUUGUUUAUUUUUUUUUGAAGUUACUGGUGUCCUGCUUUACAAGAAGGCCGCACAUGAAGAUUACUUCACAAGUAUGUCUUUCUAUCUAUUCCUAUAAAUAUGAUUACUUCACAAGUAUGUCUCUCUAUCUAUUCCUAUAAAUAUGAUUCAUUGAUGUUUCAUAUUAUCAGUUGAUGAAUGAUAAAGUUGCCUAAAUCUCUGUUUUUUUUCCGGUUUCCCUCAGUGAUAAAGUUUUCCAAAUAUCCAUUUCAAGCUUUGGUAAUGUGCAUGACAUGGUUAUUGUUUUUAUAAGCAUUUUCUUGAGUAUUGUGACCUCCCCACAGUAAUCAGCUGAUAGCCGAACUUAUUUUUACUGUGCAGGUACACCAUUAUGAAGUAUGGGAUAAGUUCUAAAUCAUCAUCAGACUUUAUCAUUUUGUUGUUUAAUCAAUAGUUUACUAGUUCAUCGUUUUGUAACCAAAUUCUAGAACUUAGUUACCUUUCUUGUAAGAUUUACAUUGGUCAGAACUCCAAAGAUUAUAAUGAUUUUUGUGUAAUUUGAACCCAAUGAAUCAAUGAAUGUUAAAUUGAACAA